GCGGUGCCGGGUGGAGGUGGGGGAUGUUGGCACGCGCUCCGUUACCUGCUUCUCGCUGGUUCCUGCUGGUUCUCUGUGACAGCGGAGCGCGAGCUUUUCCUCUUAACGGGGCUGUCUCCAGACUUCUCUUUCUGGAACCAAGUCCCAGUCGCCCUCAGGUGGGACUCCAACCUAUGACCCCAAGAUUGAAGGUUGCAUGUUCUUCCAACUGAGCCAACCAGCCCUUUGCAGAGCAAACAAAAAGAGACAGACCUGCGUUCCCAAAGAGAAGCAGCCUGCUUUACAAUCCCAGCAGAGGAAGAAAGAUUUUCCCCCAGCCCAGCAACAGCCUAGCCAAUGAGAGACUGUCACACACAACUCAACCAAUGAAAAGCCACUACACUUUCGACUCCCGGUUUACUCCAAUGGACUUUUUGUUUACAACAGCUCCUCCCAAGUCCCCCACCCCCCUUUUCUCUAUGAAAGAGCCAACUUCUCCUUUGUGCUUUGGACUUGUUUGUGGUUUUGCUGUAGCUUGCGUGGCUUGAAUUGUAAUUCUCUGCUGCUCCCGAAUAAAUCAGUUUUUGUGGUAAAAUAAUUAACAGUUUUAUUUUUAAGGUUAACACAAGCCGGAGCUUCUAAUAAGUAUCAAGUGUCUGUGAGUUACUGAACCUAGUAAAACAAAGAAGCUCAUCCGGAUAUUGACUUGAAUUAUAGAAGAAGCCUAGAUUCUUUGGAUUUACACUUAAUAUUCAGGCAAAAAUAAGCGGGGACUUUGGAACAUCCCUGGAGCACGACGAUCCAGGUAUGCUGUUGGUUUUCCCAUGCGAGGUGAAGAGGUAUUUGGGAGUUAGAUAAAGGGGUCUGCUGAAGAAAGCAGAGCGUAUCAACAAUGGCGAAAUGAAUAGUGUCAGAGGGUAUAGGAGCAAAGAGAGUGUUGCGAUUUGGGAAAAAAACAAUAUGCAUUUUACAAUUUUAUUUAUGGCUCACAGUUCUUGGACAAACUGGUAACCCCUUCCGUUAGGUUUCUUUAUGGGUAGGAUAGAUGUGCUGCAGGGGCUCCAUGUGGAGAUCAGAAGCCCUUUGUCAAGUAAUAUAUGAGUAAUAGGUCCGAGACCAUAAAUUACCUCAUUUUU